rnacentral:rRNA from 1 species
CCUACGGGAGGCAGCAGUAAGGAAUAUUGGUCAAUGGAGGCAACUCUGAACCAGCCAUGCCGCGUGCAGGAUGACGGCCCUAUGGGUUGUAAACUGCUUUUAUACAAGAGAAAACCCUGGUACGUGUACCAGGUUGAUAGUAUUGUAAGAAUAAGCAUCGGCUAACUUCGUGCCAGCAGCCGCGGUAAGACGAAGGAUGCAAGCGUUAUCCGGAUUCAUUGGGUUUAAAGGGUGCGUAGGCGGACUGAUAAGUCAGUGGUGAAAUCUCUUUGCUUAACAAAGAAACUGCCAUUGAUACUGUCGGUCUAGAGUAUAGAUGACGUUGGCGGAAUAUGACAUGUAGUGGUGAAAUACUUAGAUAUGUCAUAGAACACCGAUUGCGAAGGCGGCUAACGAAACUAUAACUGACGCUGAGGCACGAAAGUGCGGGGAGUCAAACAGGAUUAGAUACCCUGGUAGUCCGCACCGUAAACGAUGAUUACUCGUUGUUGGCGAUAUGACAGUCNGCGACCGACGACGAAGACGAGUAAGUAAGUAACCUACCGUCGGGGUUAGGUUGGUCGGCCGGCCGACGGUUAGGAACGUUAAAGGUAAGUUAGGACGGCGUUGAGACGNGCCGACGGACGACGACGAGGGAGGAGG